UACGUAGGGUGCGAGCGUUGUCCGGAUUUAUUGGGCGUAAAGGGCUCGUAGGCGGCGUGUCGCGUCGGGAGUGAAAGCCCGUUGCUUAACGGCGGGUUGGCUUUCGGUACGGGCAUGCUGGAGUGCGGCAGGGGAGAAUGGAAUUCCUGGUGUAGCGGUGAAAUGCGCAGAUAUCAGGAGGAACACCGGUGGCGAAGGCGGUUCUCUGGGCAUUACCUGACGUGGAGGAGCGAAAGUGUGGGGAGCGAACAGG
rnacentral:rRNA from 1 species